CCAACUGAUGAAUACCAGAUUCUUGCCGCCCAACAAAAAAAAACACCAUCAAAUUGUGAGGCAUUGCGAAGACAUCCAGCCAGAUUCCUCUACAGCCACAUAACACAGAGACAAGCGAUUGUGAUAAAAAUGAGGCAGGCUCGUCAAAGAUCCUCCAGGAUCUGUCACUGGAUACUUCAUUUAAUUCAGAGAUAAUCUGACAAAAGUGAGGGAGGAUUGUCAGGGAUUCAACCAGAUCUAUCCUCAGACUCUUUAGUUGAAACCAAAGUGACUAUAACACAAGUGAGGACUUGCGUUGGUACCAGUUCAAAUAAUACCUGCUUUUUUGUUCUGGAUCAAGGGUCUCCAACUCAAAAUACGUCACGGGCCACUUUAUGAAAUAUAUCGGCGACGCGGGCCACAAACCAACAAAUUAGGCCUCCAACGUACACCCUUUGAUAAAGCUUCAUUCAACGAAAGAACGCGACUAUUUCGCAAUCAUCUCACUUAUGGCAAAGCUUGCUUUCACUGAACCAUCACAAGUUUUGUUUAUGUCUGAAAAAUGCCUCAGGUUAAUGGCGUUUCACACUUUCGAGGGAAAGCGACAUGUGGUUUUCAUAAGAAACGCAGAGUUGCUACGUUGCAACGUAAUUGCGAAACGUCGUUGCGUAACCAAGUAAUUAGGGAACUUUGUUGUUAAACACAAGUUCGCGCAGCGGACAAGUGAAGAAUUGGGGAACAUUGAAUAAAAUAGCUCAUAAAAUUUUACUGGUGCACGAUAAAUUCAAUCUAAUGAUACCAUUCGAAACAAGGUCCAGGUUGAAACAAGGACAAAUCGAAAUUUUGUUGUUCAAUUUAAAGACUUUCCAAAAAAAAUUUCACGCUCUUCAAUUUUGCCGAUUUUUGUACGUUAAUCGCAACAUUUUAUCUCCAUCUCAUAAUUU